rnacentral:lncRNA from 1 species
GGGGAUCUGGCUCUCGAGAUUCGGAGAACGAUGCCUCUUCGAUUUUUGAGAAAGCAAUCCUGCUGGGGGUCUGGCUCUCGAGAUUCGGAGAGCGGUGUCUCUUCGAUUUUUUAGAAAGUAAUCAUGUUGGGAGUCUGGCUCUCGAGAUUCGGAGGGCGGUGCCUCUUCGAUUUUGGAGCAAGCAAUCUUGUUGGGAGUGUUUUCUCGAAUGUG